rnacentral:rRNA from 1 species
AUUGAACGCUGGCGGCAGGCCUAACACAUGCAAGUCGAACGGUAACAGGAAGCAGCUGGCUGCUUUGCUGACGAGUGGCGGGCGGGUGAGUAAUGUCUGGGAAACUGCCCGAUGGAGGGGGACAACAACUGGAAACGGUAGCUAACACCUCAUAACUCCGGAAGACCAGAGAGGGGGAGCUUAGUGCCGCUUGCCAUCGGAUGUGCCCAGAUGGGAUGGGCUAGUAGGUGGGGUAAUGUCUCACCUAGGCGACGAGCCAUAGCUGGUGUGAGAGGAUGGCCGCCCACACUGGAAGUUAGACAGGGACCCGACUCCUACGGUAGGGAGCAGUGGGGAAUAUUACACAAUAGGCGAAAGUCUGAUGCAGUCAUGCCGAGUGUAUUAAGAAGGCCCUGGGGUUGUAAAGUCCUUUCAGCGGUGGGGAAGGGAGUAACGUUGAUACCUUUCCUCAUUGACGUUACCCGCAUAAGAAGCACCGGCUAACUCCGUG